rnacentral:rRNA from 1 species
AGCUCUGUAAGCGUAUACCAAAGUUGUUGCAGUUAAAACGCUCGUAGUCGGAUUUUGGCGUGGUGCUACUGAGGUCCCUGAUUGGGCUCCGAGGUUAGUCCCGCCUUUGUGGAUGAGGGCGUGGUGGUGCUUAACUGUAUUGCCGCGUUUUCGCCACUGUUUACUGUGAAAAAAUUAGAGUGUUCAAAGCGAGCGAUUGCCAUGAAUACAUUAGCAUGGAAUAAUGGAAAAGGACCUCGGUCCUAUUUUGUUGGUUUCUGGGGCCGAAGUAAUGAUUAAGAGGGACAGUUGGGGGCAUUCGUAUUUAAUUGUCAGAGGUGAAAUUCUCGGAUUUAUGAAAGACGAACGACUGCGAAAGCAUUUGCCAAGGAUGUUUUCAUUAAUCAAGAACGAAAGUAGG